UAUAAAAGCGAAGUGGUCCGCAGUUUCGCGAAAGUCGGCAGGUGGAGGUUGCACGUCAAGUGGCAGUUGGCAACAGCGUGUAUCAGGAAAAAGCGGGAGGAGCGUUUCGCUUGCUGUGUGGUACCUCGCCGCUUCGACAUCCGUUGCAUUGGAAACAACGGAAUUCAAAGUCACAUACUCGCAGGUGGAUAUAUGAUGUGACGGACGCACACAGACAUUCGAGGUUUCACACAGGGACGUUGCACGGACGCCGGCUGUGAUCGUGAUGCAUUUAUUGGAGAAAUGGAUGAAAAUGGACAUGCACUGGAAGUAGCAUGCUGUUAUUGUCACCAUGCACGAGCCAAGCAUGCAGCACUGAGUGAAACAGGUAACCCAUAGCGCAGCUCCACUGGUUCCAAAUUUGAUGGACACAGCCAUGAGUUACCUGGCAGUAUUGUGGCAGAGGAAGUACAUACGAACAGUCCAGCAGAAAUAUAGCAGCAGCCCAAUCCCAGGCUAUAACUCUGCAGAGGCUCAGAGAGAUAGCAGCAAGCCAGGUCCUUCCCACAACUCUCCGCAAGCUCGGGAUUCGUCGCAAACCCAGCCAGCCAGCCAUGUACGAACCUAUAUUUGCCAAUAUUGUAGAUUGUCGCCUAGGUAUUUCCAGUGCUUUUGUGACCACGUUGUUCAGUGUGUUGGGUGUGGCUUUCUCCCUUCUUGUGAUACUUGUGGAACAACGUUUGAAACCAUCUAAAGACACAUACAUCAUUUGAUUUUUUGUAUUUAGUUAAGCACACGAGUACAGGAUGACAUAACAUGACAGGGUGAGCCAGCCAACAGAAUGUAUAGGUGAGCUACUUGAGCAGAUGGAAAGAACAGGUCCAAGUUCGAAGAAUAAUCUGAAAAAAAAAAUGCUAUUUAUGCCAUAACCCAGAGGGCCACCACAUGUGCUCCAAGGUGGUUGUCGAUUGCGUUGUAAGCAUCAUAGAGGAAUUGUUUCAGGAAAUGGGUGUGCAGAUUGACACCACUUUGGUAAAAUCAGAUCAGGUUCGGAAGUUGCAUUAUGAGGAACCCCUGAUUUUUUGUAACGUGCCUUAAGUGCAAAAUGCGUUGGGGUUCUUUAUCUCAUUAAACUUUCAUUUAGAUAAUUUUUCUACACGUCAUGUGAAGAUGACUACGAAUUAUCUAUUUUGCUAAAGUCAAAAAGUGACUUGUCAACUCAGUUCCGUUAUAUGUACAUUCAGUGCAAGGUGUUCUGCAGUUUAGUAAUACUCAUAUUUCAUAUAUGCCUUUUCUCUGCAUGAUCCUUCGGAGAUAUUUUGCCUCCACUGAAGAAGAG